GCACUGCUGAUGAGUCUCAUACUAGGAUGAAACGGCCGUCCAGUGC
rfam:Schistosoma curassoni strain Dakar, Senegal genome assembly, scaffold: SCTD_contig0003196